rnacentral:rRNA from 1 species
GACGAACGCUGGCGGCGUGCUUAACACAUGCAAGUCGAACGGAAAGGCCCUGCUUUCAGGGUACUCGAGUUGCGAACGGGUGAGUAACACGUGGGUGAUCUGCCCUGCACUUCGGGAUAAGCCUGGGAAACUGGGUCUAAUACCUGAUAGGAGCCAUUUUUAGUGUGAUGGUUGGAUAGUUUUUUCGGUGUAGGAUGAGCUCGCGGCCUAUCAGCUUGUUGGUGGGGUAAUGGCCUACCAAGGCGGCGGCGGGUAGCCGGACUGAGAGGGUGGACGGCCACAUUGGGACUGAGAGAAGGCACAGACUCCUACGGGAGGCAGCAGUGGGGAAUAUUGCACAAGGGGCGCAAGCCUGAUGCAGAGACGCCGCGUGGGGGAUGACGGCCUUAGGGUUGAAAAAUACUUUCGCUAGGGACGAAGCUUUUUGUGACGGUACCUAGAUAAGAAGCACCGGCUAACUACGUG